GGUCAAGAUAGAAAGAGCUAACGGC
rnacentral:rRNA from 1 species